CAGGGAGAAAACACAUUCACACAACUUUUAUUACAAUAUAGUGCUAUAAUUGUUCUAUUUUAUUAUUCAUUAUUGUUCAUCUCUCAGUGUGCCUAAUUUACAAACUAAACUUUCUCAUAGGCAUGUAUACAUAGGAAAAAAUAAAUAGUACAUACAGGGUUUGGUACUAUCUGAAGUUUCAGGCACCUUCUGGGGGCCCUGUAUCCCCUGCAGAUAAGGGGGGGACUACUUACAGGGGAAAGGCACAUAGUAAUGAAAACAGAUGAACUACAACUACAGGUAUCAACACAGAUGAACCUCAAGAACAUAAUGCUCAGCCAAAAAACGAACUCUUGCAAGACUAUGUAUUAGCUACCUAAUGCUGUGUAACAAAUCGCCCCAAACAACAGACUUCUAUUAUCACACAGUUUCUGUAGGUUAGGAAUCCAGAUGUGGCUUAACUGGUAAAGAAGAGACUCUCUUCUUCAGGGCCUCUCACAGAGCUGCCAUCAAAGUCUUGGCCCAGGCUGGGGUGUCAUCUCAAGGCUAGACUGGGGAGGGGUCCUCCAGGGUCAUCUGCUUGUUGUAGCAUCCAGUUACUUGUGGCCAUGGGACUGAGGCUUCAACUGCAUGCUGGCUGCCGGGGGAGGCCACCCUCAGUUCCUUGCCACAUGGCCUCUCUAUAUGGCAGCCUGCUCCACCACAGCCAGCAGGGGAGACCAUCUGUUGUCAAGGAAGAAGUUCUAAGCCCACAUAAUGUAAUCACGGGAGGAAGGCACAGCAUCAACUUGGAUGCAUCCUACUGGUUAGAAGCAAGUUGCUAGCUCGGCUCACGCCAAAGGGAGGGGACUUCACAGGAUGUGAACACCAGGAGGUGUGGAUCACUGAAGGCCAUCUCAGAGUCUGCCAGCCACAAAAGAUACUGCAUGAUUCCAUGUACAUAAAAGUUAAAAACAAAAACAAACGAUGUUGCUUAGAAACACAACCCCAUGUGAUAAAACUAAAAAACAGCAGAGAAUGACAACUGCGAAAUUCAGGACAGGGACUCCCUCAAAUGCUUCAGGUUUAUCUGAUAAACACAUUUUUGCAGGAAGGGGAGAGGAUCGGGAGCUGGAAGCUGGGAUUGGGAGGGGCAAAGGGAAUUUCAAAGUUAAGUUCCAUUUCUUGGCCUGAGUAGUGGCUACACAAGUGUUCAUUGUUUUUGUGAUUGUGUAAACAUUCCCAAAUAUUUUCAAAUAUUACCUGUAUCUACUCAAAGUUCAGGGACCACAUGGCUUGCUCCCUUAGCACCCCACAGAACAGUGAGGACAGGGGCUCUGCACCCUGUGAAACCUCAAGAAAUGCAGCAGAUGCCUCCCUGGCAUCCCCGCCUCCACCUUGCCCUGCAAAGAAACGCACCAGCUCUGACCGAGAAGCAUGUCCGGCACCCAGAAAUCCUGCUGUCUCUCCUCGCCAAACCAAAUGCAAAAGCCUCCAGCCUGAC
rnacentral:lncRNA from 1 species